rfam:Gorilla gorilla gorilla genomic chromosome, chr19, whole genome shotgun sequence
GCCAGGUGUGGUGGUGCACACCUGUAAUCCCAGCUACUCAGGAGGCUGAGACAGGAGAAUCGCUUGAACUCGGGAGUUAGAGGUUGCAGUGAGCCGAGAUUGUGCCACUGCACUCCAGCCUGGGCGACAGAGUGAGACUCCGUCUCUA